AGGGAGGUAUCUCUGCUUCUCCGCAGGCAAACAAGACAGCAAGGGAGAUUACUUAGUCAGGUCCUUGAUUUAGGCAUAUUUCUGUGAAUUAAUAAUGUAGAGGAAGAAUAGGGAAAAAAUGUGAUAGCAAUUUUGGGAGCAGUUUUUAUGAAGAUUAUAUAGAAGUAGGCUACCAUAGGGGAGAGAUCAGGAAAAAGAACUAGGGACUUAGAACAGUAUUCCUCCUACCUAAAUUAAUCUUAAAUGAAGUCCAUUAAUUAUAUGUAUACUCUACCAAGCAAUAGAGAAUACCUUUCAGCUAAAAUUUGAAUCACUGGACUGACCAAACUGGGUGUCACAGUUAAGAUCCCAAAGUGAUGUGUAAUGGCUGGGACCUUCACUUGUCUGAGUAUGACUUGAGUUCAAACCACGGUUCCCAGAUUUUUGGAAACGGUCAUCUGUAAAUAGUACUGAGUGAUUGUUUUUAUUUGUUUGGUUUUUAUUAUGCUAAGAGUUAUGUUCCACCAGCAUGCAAAGGAACAGAUGAAUCAUUAAUAACCAAUAGUUACCAGCAUUUGAUUUUUCCAAAUUGUAAGUUCUGAGUCUGCAAUCAAAGAAAUUUUAUAAGGACCCUUUUCUUCUGAGAUGUACGUACACAUGCACAACAGAUGCAUUAUUAUUUUCUAUACCUAAUUGCUAUUCAAGUAGCAAUUCAGAUUUUUUUUUCUGUAGAAAUCAAUUUUCUUUAGACAGCUUUUAAGUUAAAUUUUGUUUUAAAAAUAGAGUAACAAAUUCAUUUUACUAUACUUGAACAAACCUCUUGCAGUUAAUUGGGCUCUAAUGUUAUUAGCAUCUAUUUUAUGCAUGGGUAUGAUGCUGAAAAAUUAACUUGAUACCAUUUAUUUUUCUGCAGUUCUUCUGAGUUCACUGAUUCCAGAGCUAUCAGAGUAGCAGAAAUGUUUUUGCUUCAUUAUGCUUUUUUGGUUCACUUCUUAUGUAUUCUCAGAAGCUGUGAAGAUUGAAGAUAUGGAGGAUGAUAUUCUAUCAAGAAUAGAAAUUUAGAAUCA
rnacentral:lncRNA from 1 species